CGCUGCGAUGGAGGGACGCAGGAGUGAAACUGCCGCCACGAGACGGAAUUCGUGGUUGAAGGGUGUAGGGAGACCGAAGCCCGACAGUACCGCAAGGCCCCGGCCGAGCGGACAGUGCAGGUAACCAAGCUGCCUAGAAAAGCUCCUAAGCUUCAGGCGUAUGUGCCAGUACCGUAAACCGACACAGGUGGUCGAGGAGAGUAUCCUAAGGCGCUCGAGUGAUCCACAGCCAAGGAACUCGGCAAAUUCGUCCUGUAACUUCGGGAGAAGGGACGCCUACCCAGCGAUGGGAGGCCGCAGUGAAGAGGCCCAGGCGACUGUUUAGCAAAAACACAUGGCUUUGCGAAUUCGAAAGACGACGUAUAAGGCCUGACACCUGCCCGGUGCUGGAAGGUUAAGAGGGGGGGUCAUCCGCAAGGUGAAGCUCUGAAUCGAAGCCCCAGUAAACGGCGGCCGUAACUAUAACGGUCCUAAGGUAGCGAAAUUCCUUGUCGGGUAAGUUCCGACCUGCACGAAUGGUGUAACGAUCUGGGCACUGUCUCGGCUGUGAGCUCGGUGAAAUUGUACUGCCGGUGAAGAUGCCGGCUACCCGCAAUGGGACGAAAAGACCCCGUGAACCUUCACUACAGCUUUGCAUUGACAACGGGUAAGGGAUGUGUAGGAUAGGUGGGAGGCUUCGAUCCGGCGUCGCCAGGCGUCGGUUAGCCAACGGUGAAAUACCACCCUUCCCUUGCUUGUUGCCUAACCCCGCGAGGGAGACAUUGCAUGGCGGGUAGUUUGACUGGGGUGGUCGCCUCCAAAAGGGUAACGGAGGCUUCCAAAGGUCUGCUCAGCACGCUUGGUAACCGUGCGUAGAGUGCAAUAGCAUAAGCAGGCUUGACUGAGAGACUUACAGGUCGGCCAGGUAGGAAACUAGGGUAUAGUGAUCCGGCGGUACCGCAUGGAAGGGCCGUCGCUCAAAGGAUAAAAGGUACUCCGGGAUAACAGGCUGAUCUCCCCCAAGAGCUCAUAUCGACGGGGAGGUUUGGCACCUCGAUGUCGGCUCGUCACAUCCUGGGGCUGGAGAAGGUCCCAAGGGUUCGGCUGUUCGCCGAUUAAAGUGGCACGCGAGCUGGGUUCAGAACGUCGCGAGACAGUUCGGUCUCUAUCUAUUGCGGGCGUUAGACAUUUGAGGGGGGCUGGCCUUAGUACGAGAGGACCGGGUCGGACGAACCUCUAGUGCACCUGUUGUGACGCCAGUUGCAUCGCAGGGUAGCUAUGUUCGGAAGAGAUAAGCACUGAAAGCAUCUAAGUGCGAAACUCGCCCCAAGAUGAGAUGUCUUUACAAGGGUCGUGGGAGACUACCACGUCGAUAGGGUGCAGGUGCAAGCGUGGAGACAUGCUCAGCCGAGCACUACUAAUUACCC
rnacentral:rRNA from 1 species